CCAAACCUGGUUGAUCCUGCCAGUAGCAUACGCUUGUCUCAAAGAUUAAGCCAUGCAUGUCUAAGUAUAAACAAAUCUAUACUGUGAAACUGCGAAUGGCUCAUUAUAUCAAUUAUAGUUUAUUUGAUGGUCCUUGCUACUUGGAUAACCGUAGUAAUUCUAGAGCUAAUACAUGCAUCAAGCCCCGAUUCUGGA
rnacentral:rRNA from 1 species